CUCCCACCCUGGCCUGUCUCCUCUCCGCCGCGCCCUCCUCCCCACGCCGUCCGAGUCCUCCGGGCGCAGUUCGCCGAAGGCGAGGCCCAGACCGCCGCGCUCCGGGCCCGCGCCGGCCGGUUCGAGCGCACGCCACCGACCGCGACCAGCUGCUCAACACACUCCUCGCCGCCGCGGGAAACGGCCGGGAGGAGGAGGCGCGGGAGGCAGGGCAGCGUCGGAUCCGGCCGAGGCGACAUGGACGCGGAGGCUCUGGCCGCGGCCGCGGCCGCCGCGCUCCCUCCGGUCACUACCUUCCCGUGAGCUUACUUCCACCCUAGCUUCUCCCCCUUUCCUCUUUGUUUUUUAACUGAUUCCCAACUGCUUGAUAAAUCCCGCUCCUCUGCUCCUGCAGGAUGGCUUUCUCUGUUCAAUUGCUUAAUUUGGUUGUCUUGUCUUAUCUGAAAUGCAAGGGAACCAACAUACAUGGCAUGAUGGAUGGAGAUCAGUAGAUGUUUUUUUGUUCUGUUCACAUGCUUUCUAAUAGUUUUCAUCGGAUUAUAGGCAUGAGCUUUGAGCAAUAGGCAUAAAUCUGUUGUAAUCAAUCAAAGGCAGUGAGAACGUUUACUGAAAUCUUUAGAAGUGGGGAUCCUAUGAAUUGCUUUGAUUGAACGUCCAACGAUGAUCUCAUCUUAUAGUAACUCUGAAACAUUGUAUUGGUAGUUUUUAUCUUUACACUUUUGCCUUCUGUACAUACUAGAUUGCAUUGUUUAGGACAUGACACAACACUGCAAACAGCUCAUGAGAGUAGUUAGCAAACGCAAAUCAUUGUAUAUGUCACUUAUGCUUCUCUUAAUAGAAAAUAGUACUAUUUUGGGGAAGGGCAUCUGGCUGACUUUCAAUAAAACUCUUCAGGUUUUGUUUGGUGAGAUUCUCUUCAGAAAAUAAGAUUUGUAUUGGUGGUAGAUCGACAGCAACUGACAGCAUCUUCGUCAUCCGCGGUGCAGUGCCGUCCGCGCGGAAUGCCUUCUGCGGCCGCGCCGCCGCCACCGACACCGCCGCCCAGCCAAUGAUGUCGGCAUGUGGUGAAAAAAGGGCCCAAGUGAAAGGUCGACCAAGCUGUAAAAAUUCGGUGAGAGGAAUUGUUGUGCUCACAGCUCACGCCAUGGCGUCCAUUGCCCCUUUUCUUACUUUAUUUUUGUUUUUCCCUUCGUUGAUUUUUCACGUCGCCUGACAAGAACAAGAAUUGCAAAGAAGAAGUGAAAAGAAAAACACAUAACAAAGGCUGAAUGCCGGAGAGCACUACUGUAUAAUUUCCCCCCAAAAUAUGAUGGGCAGUGGUGUGCUUGUUUGCAUUGAUCGCAUGGUGGCCAGCACUUCACCACACAUCUGACGGUGACUGUUUUAUCCAUGAGGUGGAGGAUAAGAGAAGUGCAUCUCUGAAAUUCGCAGUUUUGAACCUAAAGAGACACAUCUAGAAAAUGGUUGCAUGAGUUGGUUCCAGUGUCAUGUACGUCAACAUGGUUGGAGAUUUGGGAUCGGAUGCUGCGCCAAUAGCGAGGGGCCAAGGUGCUGAACUAACAGCAGGGGGAGGGUGAUUCUUCAGGUACCAACAUGGCUGUUGACUAGAGAAUUUAGUUAACCGUUUGCUUUACUUAGAGCUCCAAAUUGUAGUUAUUUUAUUUGUUCACUAAUUUGGUAUAAUCCUAAUCUAGGAGGACUAUGAUUGUAUGAUAUGAGAUCCUGACAUUUAGGCAAUGAUAAAAGUCUGACAUUGAAUGGUUCUUUUCGGAAGUACAGUUGUACGAUCUAUGAUUCUAGCUUCGACCUUUAACUGGACAGUACUAAUUGGAGAUAUAAUUGAUGCUUUAUGCACAACAAGAUAUUUUGUUUGUUUUAGUUUUUCAAUCAGAUUCAUCUAGCCCUUUGUUGACUUUCUAAUUGUUCCACCCUCUACCUCUGAAACUCAGAAAUCAGAGAAAGGUCAUUGGCAUAUCCCUAUCUCUGACGAAAAUUUGCUAGCGAGGAAGAGGACCAGAAUGUUUUUUCUAUUGUUGGGGAUAUACAUAAUACAUAUAGAUAAAUUUGGACCAUUUGUAACAGAGAUUUCUUGCCAAAAAUAUUAACUCUGUCUAGCAGUGGGCACUGUCAAGGUAAUAACAGGAAUUUGCUGAACCUAAUUGAAAGAAAGAGGGAUGGUAAUCCGAUUGAGAACAUUCUCUAACUAAAAUAGACUUAACAAUCAACAAUAUUAAAUAGUUUCAAAUUAACAAAUGUUGUUUGAUUAAAAUACUGAUUUAAGAAUUUGGCGAAUCUAUAUUUCUCUACAUAAUCACUUGGUGCAUUGUUAGAUCAUCAAGUUAUCCUAGACCACUUGGGGACAAUAUCAUCAAUUUCUUGCAUACUGCAAUAAUGCAAGUUUAAAAAGCCAGUUUCUUAUGUUUCUUGUUAUCUCUGUGUUCACCUAACUGCCAAGAAUCAUAAAAGGAUGCAUCUAAUGAGGUAGCUUUUGUUCAUGCAUUUUUUAAGUGUAGGGAUGCUGUAUAUGAUUAACAAAACAUUGUUCAACCUUCUAUGAGUCCACCUAGGGAGCUGCACAAAUUUGGAACAACUUCCAGAACAGGCAUCCAAGCAUUUUGGUCUGCUACCAGUAAGUUGCCAGAGCAAGAUAGCUGGGAGUCUGCGAUGUCAGAGUCCCUUAGGGGUUAGGGCAAUGGUAAAUCACAAAUUGCCUGAUGUUCGAUGGGAAGCAUCAAACAAUACCAAUGUCGAGUAGUAAGAUUUGAUUGUGCAGGUGAUCAAGCCAAGAUAAGUAUGCUUGCAUCCCCUUUUAGUCCAGAUUUAGAAAAAUAUGAUUUCUGCUAUGAUAGUUUCCAGAAUAGUUUGGCCCUUGAGACACUUCCAUUGUAUGCAUGUGUGUUCCUUUUCUUUCCUGAGAUAUGCAUGUUAAUUGAUUAUUAUUGCAAUUGGUUCGACAAAAA